rnacentral:rRNA from 1 species
UACGUAGGGGGCAAGCGUUGUCCGGAAUCAUUGGGCGUAAAGCGCGUGUAGGCGGCCCGGUAAGUCCGCUGUGAAAGUCGGGGGCUCAACCCUCGAAUGCCGGUGGAUACUGUCGGACUAGAGUGCGGGAGAGGCGAGUGGAAUUCCUGGUGUAGCGGUGAAAUGCGCAGAUAUCAGGAGGAACACCAAUUGCGAAGGCAGCUCGCUGGAACGUAACUGACGCUGAGACGCGAAAGCGUGGGGAGCGAACAGG